GGCAGGUAUUUUUCACACGUGGAUGACACGUGGCAGAAUUGAGAUUAGGCGGUACUGUUUGGUUAUCGACCAACUACACAUUGCUUCAUCAAAGCUGACUUUUAGGUAAUGAAAGAGGGCAAAGAAGGAGAUUUUAUGAUUGGAAGGUACAGGGAAGAAGUGAAAAAAAAUCAACAUGAGCCUCAUCAAGCUAGAAUGAGUCAGAAUCCUACUUAUCAAGAUAGAGAUAAUUUAUUUGGAAUUUUUGUUCUCUUAUAUCUUUACACAUUGGAGUUGUAUGCCUUGCAGAUAGAAGCAAGACAAGUGUUGGUUGUUAUCCAUUUUAAAUAAUUGUUCAUGAAUGCUUUACUCAAAAAUUUGUUUGUGUUAUUGUCCUUUUUGAAUUUCUAAUAGGGAGAGUUCCAAUUGAUGUGAAAUAACUUCAAGUAUUUAUGGUGCUUAGGUUCACCAUAUGGAACUGGAAUAUUUGUAAUAUUAUUAUAUUAAUUAAU